UUUUAUUUCCCCCUUCUUCUUGGCGUCUCCCGAGAACCCCCCCCUCGGUGUUUUUCUUCUUCGCACCCUAACAACCGUCCACCGCCUCCGUUCCUCCCUCGCCUCCGAUUGCGCCGCCACGCCGAACGUCCUCCUCACCGUCAGCCUACACAGCCGCUCAGCUACUUUGCAAGCCCUCCGCUCGUCCGUGACCCGCGCGUUGAAGCCAAGCACCACGAGGAUCGGACAUUGUGCGAGCUGCUCGCCCAACUUUUCUCCUCCGCGAGCCGCUCGUCCAGUCAGUCUCCUCCGUCGUCUCGCCUAGUUUCGACCGUACGUGAGCACCUGCUUCAAACCGCAACGUCGCUCCAGCUGCACGUUCGCCGCCCCAGCCGUACCGCUGUCGGUCGCCUUCGCCCUGCCGCGUCGAAUCCGUCUUGAACUUCGUCAAAUCUGUUGGGCCUAAGCUGUCAAGGAGUUUGGGAGUUAAAAGGUGGCACCGUCAAGGAAGGUGGAAUUGAUUUUUAUUCUUUGGGUAAAGGUAGAGAUGCACUAGUGAUGGACAAGCGGAAUUUGUGAUCGAGCCACUGGGACUAGUUUUGUACUUUCGCUCAUGAGACUAAGAUUUCCUUUCAUGUUUUGCUUUAUUUUUAGUUUUGAUAUUUGAAACCUACUAUUAAGAAUUGUUUUCAAACUUAUUUAUUAACAUUUGUGAUUUUUGGGUA